rnacentral:rRNA from 1 species
GACGUAGGGUGCAAGCGUUGUCCGGAUUUAUUGGGCGUAAAGAGCUCGUAGGCGGCUUGUUGCGUCGACUGUGAAAACCCGCGGCUUAACUGCGGGCUUGCAGUCGAUACGGGCAGGCUAGAGUUCGGUAGGGGAGACUGGAAUUCCUGGUGUAGCGGUGAAAUGCGCAGAUAUCGGGAGGAACACCGAUGGCGAAGGCAGGUCUCUGGGCAUUAACUGACGCUGAGGAGCGAAAGCAUGGGGAGCGAACAGG